rnacentral:tRNA from 1 species
GCGCUCGUAGCUCAGCCUGGAUAGAGCGACUGCCUUCUAAGCAGUAGGUCGGGGGUUCGAAUCCUCCCGGGCGCG